CAACAAGCUAAUAUCCAAAACAAUAUUAUGUACAAACAAGAAGCUGUUCUCGUCUCAAAUUACUACUUCAGCUGAUUUCAUAGCAUUGUAAAUGCCCCUUUCUAAUUUUGAAAAUCCACAAUUUCUGAGGUUUUUUGUCCUGUGGAAAUUUAUAAAAUGCCGUAGUUUCUGUGUUUUAAUGGCUGCAUGACCAUCUUCCGGAUACAAGGUGUGUGUUCUUUUAUAUUGCAUAUUAACAUUUAUUUAAUACCUAAUUACAUUUAAAUUGUGUACUUUUAGUUGGGUAAAAGUACGUUAAUGUACUUAAAUAUUAAAUGUAAAACAAAAACUUGUAUUUAUGAAAUGUAAUAGAGUACAAAUUAUGAUAAUAUGCUAUGGAAUGUAUGUUUUCCAAAGCAAAACACUGAUAAAAUACAAAUUGUAGAAAUGAGUGAGGAGUCCAUGUUCAAUGCAAACCAGCCGUAUUUAUUACAUAAACAUCAGUAGUGUAUAUGCAAGUUACAGCUUACACAGCCACAGGCAACAAACCGAAACUGGUGCGUUCCAGGCAGGUUUUUAAACCCGUGAGUUACGACUUCAAAACCACGACUCACGACCUUAUGCGUUCCAGGCAGCCCGUAACUCGUGUUUUUACAACCUUCUACCGGUGAAAGUGCACUGGAACGGCAGUCAAACCCGUGACUUCCCACCCGUGAACUCGUACUAGAUCGAUGUACUCCCAAGCCGUUUCUCAAUAUGCGUUCUUGUCUGUACUUGUGUUCUUGUGGACUUGUGAAACGUCAUCAGUCGCGGCCCAAGUACUGUUCCAAUUCAAAGUUCGCAUCAAGCCCAAGUUCACAUAAAAUCCCCGGAUGUGUUCUUGAUCCGCCCAUUUUAUCGAGGAUGCAUCAGAGGAGACUUGUGUGGACUUAUGACAGCGAAGUUUCCCAGAAUGCAUUUCGCGUCAGGAGUUCGUUCUUCCGAGUCUGAACUUGCAAGUUCGAACUACGAAGGACACAAGUCCGAGUUCGGCGUACUUGGUUUUGAGAAACGGCUCCAGUUCAGAGUCGUGAGGCGUGGUUUUGAACUCUGGGCGUAACCGCACGCGCUUUCGCCGAAGAUGACGUCACGUGCAUACCCAUAUGAAGCAGAUCUUGGCAGAGACUCGCCACAUGUUUUCAGUGUUUGGACUGAGUGGAUCGAGAAAACAUUACAGAUUUCGGACAACAGUCUUCGACUGCGAUCGUUUAAAUAACAUGACCAGAGCAUAAACGAUAAUCUUCACCCAAGAGACAUACAGCUGGGACAAUCGUUUUGGCUUUAAAGUUAUCUUGACCCAAGAGACCUACUGUUGGGACUUUCAUUUUGGCUUUUAAUGUAAAUGCAUUUUUAGUCACAAUGUCUAGUUACUGGGCCAAAAGGAGAAGAAUACUGAAAGGAGUUGAGAGGGACAAACAGGAAAUUGCAGCUGCAAACGAUGCUCUACUUGCUGUUUUUCUCGAAUUUGACCAAGUAAAUCUUCCUGUUAAUGAGCAUCAACAUGCAGUGGCUACAACAAGUCACGGACAAACUGUUACCCCUGAAGAAAACCAGGAAAACAUUGAGCCAUCUGUAGACUUCA